AAACGAUUGAAGUCAGUCGCGUCGGCCGAGACUCAACCUUACUUUUGUACGGUGUACUUCUCGGUUGACGGGUCAACAUCAAUUUCGAUCGCCGGAUAAAGGCCUUGGGAAUGUAGCUUCUUUCGGGGAGUGUUAUAGCCCUCGGUGCAAUGCCGCCUACCUGGACCGAGGACCGCGCUUCGGCUAGGAUGCUGGCGUAAUGGUUGUAAGCGA
rnacentral:rRNA from 1 species